rnacentral:tRNA from 1 species
UCCCAGAUACGCUAAUUGGCAAGCGGAGACACUGUUAAUGUCUUGUAACCCCUUAAUCGGGUAUGGAAGUUCGAAUCUUCCUCUGGGAG